GCUUUAAAAAUGAUUGCAAUCGAUGGAGUCUGUUGAAUGACAGAUCUAAAUAUUCCAGAUGUUUGAAAUUUUCUAACACAUCGUUCUUAAUAUUUUGAAUUUUGUUAUUACGAAUAAUCAGUUUCAUUAUAUUUGGACAAUCAGUGAAAUGGCCGCCGUUGAUUUCCUCGAUCAGAUUGAAACUAAGAUCUAACACUUUCAAAUUCGGAAGCAAAUACAGAGAGUGGUCAUAAUUUCUGGUAUGUUUUGAGUGUUUAAAAUUAUUUGUCGUUUGUCUACUGAUUGAAUGUUGCUGGAUGCUAUACGGUGGGGCAAAUCGUUUCAAAAUUGACAUGAUCGAAGGUCUGGAAUUCGAUCAGUCGCGAAUUAUCAGAAAUAUCUGAUGAUUUGUCUGAGGUGUCUGAGAUGAUGAGGGAUAAUAACAAAUGAAUGGAUAAACCGCGGACGCUAUGGACACUUCCGUGCAAGGAGGAGCACACUGAAGUCGAUGUAGCUUAGGGAACAGGAGCCAUUGUUGUGUCCGGAUACCUUUCGGAAGUACAACAUAAGUUAACCAGUGCUUCGACGGCGGUAAACAAAACCAUAAAUCGGGCUAGAAUUGCGAUUAAGCAACUAGGACUAAAUCAGUACCUGAUCGAUGGCAGACUAAAGUGAUGGGCUACGAAGCAUUUGAAUCGGAUUACAACCAAUGACGAUGGAAUUAUAAUAGCUGAGAAACAAGUGUUGUUUUUUUAAAAUAUUGUUUUUUUUUUAGAUUGUAGGUUUCGAGAUUUUCAUUCUAUGGAAGGCUUCAGGGCAUUGCCAUAAAGUGUAAUUAAAUGUUAUGUUAUAUGUAUAAGCCUUGUAGCUUGAUGCUAUCCACUUAUGUAUGUUAUGAGUUCCAAAUUCCAACUCUAUCAGAUUAAAAACUUAAUUUUCAUACGGAUAAUAUUUCCAAACACUAUCCAAACGGUAGCUCACCACAUUUCAAGAAAAAGUAGUCGGGAAACUAGUUCAUAAGGCUGAAAAAUUUUACACUAGAUACAAAUAUUGAGAACUGUUUUAGGCAUUGGCAGAAUCUAUAGAUUCUUAGCGACAGCCUAGAAUCUGUAAAACCUGCUUCAAAAAUGAGCAUAGAAUUCUCGGUUCUCGGAUAGUGAUGAAGACUGUCUGGGAUACCCUUCAGUUUAUCGGUAUAUGAGAGAUCGCUUCAAUUCAAUAUGUAUAACACAAUCCGAAGGACUUCAAUAGCGAAACAU